UUAUUUUCAACUCGUGCUAAAUGUUAUGAUAAUACUUUAUGUUAGCUCUUUUAAACCCAUGUUAGUCAUUCUUGUAAAUAUGAAUGACUAUGUGAAGUUGGAAUUUUGAUUCCCAUAUAAAAGAUAAGAGAACUAAAUCUCAGAUUUAGCAGUUUUCCCACAGUGGACACAGCUUUAAAAUGACAGGCUGGGUUUCAAUGUGAGGUCUAUCUGACUCCAAGGUACCUAUUCUUAUGCAAUAAGCUUUUUAUAUUUAAACUAGAUAUUCCAGGUUAAACAUUAGUUUUCAAGUUUUUGUGGUGUGUUAUUAUUUAAUUGGUUAGACACAUUGGUAAUUAUGAUUUUUUUUAAGUCUGUUCAGUAGAGAAAGAGCCUUAUGUGUUUUCACAAUAUCACUUUGCAAUAGGUUAGUAUGCGUUAGUGUGAAGGUAACAGAAAAUCUAAAAUGUCAAACCUUUUCAAAUAUGCAUUAUAUAUUACUUUAUAAAAGUAGUAUGGCUAAUACUUAGAAAAGGAAUUAAAAGUAAGGUUGUAACUCUAUACAGACGUCUACAGAAGUCAGUGAGGGAAGAGAUGUGUUCUAGGAAUUUGUGUGACUACUCCAAUCAGAGGGAUACAGUGCUACAUUUGAACAAAAGAAAUAGCUUAAUAAGAAAAGAUAGGGUAAUUUCCAGAGACACCCAGUUACAUGCUGGAUAAAAUGACCUCUAAUUAAUUGCCUGAGUAAUUUCCUGCCUUUAUACACAUAAUUUCACAGUAGAAAAUCCAGCUUCUCUAAUUAAUUUUUUUUCCUAAGAAUUCCUUUGAGAGAUUGAGAAAAAAAAGGUACUUACAGACUCAAGAUUUUGCAUAAACAUAAUGGAUUCCUUGGCUGUCUGGGAUCUGUUUGGGAUAAAUGUACAUUUUGCUUCAUACAGCCCCGUCUUUGAGUCAUAUCUGCAUUGUCGUGUUAUGCAGCUGUCCUUCUUGCAGUUCCGAACGACGUUAGUACCAGUAAUGUGAGUGGAACAUCUAUGAUGAAAGAAUUAGAUUAUAUAUAUAUAUGUAUAAAAUUUUAUGUAUUUAUGUAUAUAUAUGUGUGUGUGUGUAUAUAUAUAUAUGAAAAUUCAUGGCAAAUUAUGAAUGAAGACUAAUAUCCUAAAAACUUUCCUUCACUGACAACUGCCAUAGAUCACGUACCAAACAUUACAUUUUGACAAAAACAGGCACAAUAGUCUAUCUCAAUUUGUCAUCAAUUUCAAUAGAAACAAUGUCAGUUCAUAUUUAUUAAACAUAGAUUGGUCAUUUGAUCAAUAAAUCUAUUAUCCUUGUGACUUUGAGCUAAAGAUGAUAAUUCCUAAUUAUAGGGAUGUUGUAAAGAUUAGAUGAGUUAAAAGGUACAGCAGAAUUGCUUAUUAAUAGGGAAGGGAAAGUCAAUAUUAUGCUUAAAAUCCUCUUCAAUUCCAUAUGUGGUAUUCACUGUUUAGUGUUUAUAGCAUUUUGUAAUUUAUAUUUUGAGAACCACUUCACUAAACUGGUAGAACAAAUAAAAAUAAACCCUGCAUGGAAAGGCUCGUGCAUCAAACCAUUUGGUCUUUGCAGUAAAAAUAUAUGUCAAGUUCCUGGCAGGGAAAGAGGGCCAGAAUACAGGGAAAGGAUUCUAAAGAAGUUCCGUUUAUAUGCAGGGUAUCCUCCAAUUCUGUGUUAAUAUUAAACUUCAUAACAUGAAUCCAUUUUAAUGACUUUGUAUUGCAAGGAUUUAGGAACAUGGUGAGUCAUAUCUUCCCAGAGGGUUAGUUCUUGAGUAAGCCUAAAAAUUAAACUUACAUAUGAUGAGACUUCACUGCCUGAAAGUGCCUGACACACAGUAGGAGCUCAAUAAAUGUUUUAGGUACUUGUUUUUACUAAUUACUAUUUUUUGACUGAUUAUAAGGAAACAUUUAUUUUUCAUGAAUUUAUAAAAAAUUUAUUUGAUACCUUCUUUGUUUAACUUUUACUUUAUGCCAGGUCAAAGACCAGAGGAUUGAAAAAAUGUGCAGUUCUUAAGAAUUUUAAAGUCGAAUGGGGAAAAUAUAAUUGUAUAGACAAUUACUGCCCAGUGACAGAAGUGUGAGAGAAGCCCACACAUGCUUUGAGAGCACUCUUAAGGGAAUUUAACCCCAAAUGAAGGGAGAGGAAAGACAGUUGGAGUACAGUGGCUUGAUCAUAGCUCACUGCAGCCUCAGCUUCUAGCCUCAAGCAAUCUUCCUGAGUCAACGUCUUAAGUAGCUGGGACUAGAGGUCAUUGGAAUUAAAAUGCUUACAUUCCUGAAAUAAGCUCUUCGUUUGGUGGCAUAAAACAGAGUCAUUGGAGGUGAGUGUUAUCAUGACCACUGUGACUGUCAUACACUUCUACACGCUGAUGUCCUUGCCAAGGGUUUGUCUACAGAAGCUGUCAACUCUUGAGCCCAGCCACCAGCCUGUUGUGCUGCUGCUUACUCAACAAAAGUCUCAUGGAGAGAAUUGGUAGGUAGGUAGAAUUACCUCUACACUUGACCUCCGAUAGAUUCCAAUCUGUUACACCAGUGUGCAUGGUUGUUAAAAGUUCUGCUGGCUUUGCCUUACUUCAGCAGAGUUCCUCUGCUUAAAACACACCCUAUUUUUGUGCCCAUGCUUCCUCUAGGAAGAGUUUGUCCCUUUCUGGAAUUUAGUUUCUUAGAUUUAUAUAUGCAUAUAUGUAGCUUAUUCUCUCCCUUUUCUGAACACCAGCUCAUUAAUUUUGACAUUUAAAUAAACUAUAUAGAGUUUAUAUAUAAACUAUUUAUAAACCCUAUAUAACAAUUUAUAUACACUGAGAUGUCGAUCACCACCUGCAGAGAUCACCACCUGCAGACCCUGACUCAACGAUGGAUGAAUAAAUGCACUCUCACAUUCAUUACAGUGAUUCAAGUGGGCUAGGGAUGGUUGUCAGCUGCUUUCAGAGGGUGAUUGCAGCCAACUGACCAUGACUCCCUCUCCAUCCUCACAUUUAUUCAGUAUAAAUUUCAUAACAGGGGUUCUAAGUCUACAUGCUUGUGGAUAAUUACCAUGUUAAUUAUCCACGAAAGAGUGGUUUUACGAAUGAUAAAAGCUUUUGGUUCCAGGGCCCAGAGUAAACACCAUUGACAGGUAAUUCCCCUUUGACCUCUCCCUGAGAGGACCAUCAGCAAAGUUUACAUGAGCAAACAAAUUGGAGUAGAGACAAAGGAAUGUGGGCUAAACAGACUUAGCUGGGGAAACUUUAUUGCUGUAUCUUUUACCCUAUGACUUAAAAUUCUAAUGUAAUGAACUGGCUGCCUUCAGCCUGUUCCAUCAAAACCUUUUGGCCUUACAAAAGGUUUGAGACUGUAAUCUUCUAACUUUCCCCAAUAUUUUGCCAGUCAUUCCAAGUAAAUAUCAACAUACAGUUUACAUAUAAACUAUAUAUGUAAAUAGUUAAUUUAAAUGUUAAAAUAAAUGAGUUGAUGUUCAGAGAAGGGAGAGAAGUGAACUUGGAUUCAGGGAAGGGUUAAAUAGAUGUGACUGGAAUUAAGCCAAAAUUGGUUAGUGAGUACAAAAAUACUGUUUAGAUGGAAGGAAUGAAUUACUUUAUUUGAUAGCACUAUAGAGAAAUUAUAGUUAACAAUUUAUUAUGUAAUUGAAAAAGCUAGGAGAGAAGAAUUGUGGUAUUCUUAACACAAAUAAAAGAUAAAUGUUUGAAGUAAUGGAUAUCCCUAUUACUCUGAUUUGAUCAUUACGCAUUGUAUACAUGUAUCAAAAUAUCACAUGUACCUCAAAAAUAUAUACAGCUAUGAUAUAUCAAUACAAAUUCAAAAACAUUCUAAAAACAUCAAAAAGGACUAAAAGUUAGACACCUAAUUUUGUGCCAUGGAAAACAGCAUGAGAAGGGAGUAUAAACAUUAAAUAAAUAAAUUUGCCUAGUAAAAAAUUUGUUUAGAUACAAUUUUUUGUAUCUAAACAAAUGUAAGUCCCUGUAAGAUUCUAAUGGAGCUAACCUCACUCAAUGACAGUUUUCCAUUGCUCACAUGUUUAAUAAAGAGUCUGAAAACUUUCCAGUCUUAUAUAGUCUUAUGUUCAUAUCUAAUUAUUCAUAUCAGAUAUGCAGUAUUUACUGGAAUCAUAAAAAAAAAAACUGGUCCUAAAACCCAGAAGUUGACUGUUAAUUAUUGUUAUCUGGCAAGAUUUAUGUAACUUUAAUCAUAAGGUUCAUGAUAUGGUUUGGCUCUGUGUCCCCACCCAAAUCUCAUCUUGAAUUGUAAUCCUAAUUGUAAUCCCCAUGUGUUGAAGGAAUGAUCUAGUAUGAGGUGACUGUAUCAUGGGGGCAGGUUUCGCUAUGCUGUGCUAGUGAUAGUGAGUGAGUUCUGAUAAGAUUUGAUGGUUUUAAAAGUGGCCCUUCCUCUUUUGCUCUUUCUUUCCUGCUGCCUUGUAAAGAAGGUGACUCCUUCCCCUUUUGCAAUGAUUGUAAGUUUUCUGAGACCUCCCCACCCAUGCAGAACUGUGAGUAAAAUUAAACCUUUUUUGUUUAUAAAUUACCCAGUCUCAGGUAGUAACUUUAUAGCAGUGUGGAAAUGGACUAAUACAGUUCAUGAACUUGGAUUUAGAACUGGGUGACUUGUUAAACUCCCAUAAAGAUAUAAUAAUACUCGGACUGUUAAGUAUAAAUUAAAGGCCUGUAUAAAGUAAAUUUACUAUAUUUUCCUGGAGUCCACAGCCUGUCACCCACCAUAUUUUGAAUUUGAAGAUAUGUAGAGAGGAGAACAAAUUUUGUUUGUUAACAUGAUUUAUAACUUUUAAAUAUUUAAAUGUAUAUUCCUUGUACCAUAUUGUACCAUUUAUACACAAAUGUUAGGAAUGUGCCUCUUAGACUUAUUUUUUACUGUGCUCUUGCCAGUAGACUUUAUUCUGCUAGACUUUAUGGUUUCUCCCUGUUCCCUGCAUUCCAAGCUCUUUUUAUUUUAUUUUAUUUAAGAUAGUUGUGCCUUUGUUCUUGUCAUUCCCUCUUUCGGUAAUGCCCUUUUUUGCUUCCUGGUAGAAUCUCUCACAUUCUUCAAAGUUCAACUAAAAUGCUGCUUCUUGGGAAGCCCAUCUAACCAUUUGGUCAUUCCCUCCUCUGUGAUUGCACAGACAUUUUUAGUUGUUAUAUGUUAUAUCACCUACAACAUAUCACCAACUUUGCAAAACAGGUUUUUACUGUGUUAUUCCCAGUUAUCUUAUGAUAAACUCUAAAAUCCUUAGCGGCACUUGCAAGGACCUCACCUUAUCACAGCCCAAAUACUUAAUUCUUCAGUCUCAUCUCUUACUCUGGUCAGAUUAUUCCUUCUGUUUCUCAACUACUUGAGGAUCUCUUCUAAAGCUUUUUACACAUGCUGUUCCUUUUGCCUUGGGCAUUAUCUUCUACCCUUUUGGUGCCUCUCUACUCAUUCCUUCUUUAAGUUUUUAGCUAAAAAUUUACUUCUUUUGAGAAAUUUUCUAUGACUCAUUGAUUAUGUUAGUUCUUUCUGAUAUAAAAGUGCCCAUAGCUCUCUAUACUCUGCACUUAAACGGUAUAUUCUAUCUUUGUUCAUCCAUCUAUUAAUGCUAUUGUUUCCAUUGGAUUUCAUGAGUGUGCCUGUCUUGUUCACAGUUAUAUCCCCAUUACUUAAGCAUACAUCAGUUACUUUAAAGGCUUUGGCUAAACAUUUCUUGAUAGAGUGAAUGGAAGGAUGAAUUCAAAACUUCAUGAGAGAAGUCUUCCCACUCAUCUUAUUCUCCAAGUGCUUAUAUAAUGUCAGGCAUGGAGUGUGUACUGAAUGCUAUUGUUAAAUUUCAUUUUAAUAAAUAUGUUUCCUUUGUUUAUGACUUAUUUGCAGUGUAACACUUAGAAUUUUCAAGUAAACUUGGGUCAAUUUUACCAUUUAAAGUACUUUUAUGUUUUCUGUAUUUACCUGUAAUCUUCUAUGAAAUUUAGGAUUCUUUAUGGAUCUUUUUUUUUUUUAAGUUUGACAGCAAUUUAUUUGUCACUUAUACUGAUAGUCUGGGAGGGGACAUUGCACACAGGGCCACACAAGGUCUGCACUCAGGAGCAGAGUAAACAACCAGGGGCCAUGGAAGGCAAGCUUUUCAGUGUCAAGAGGGUGACUUGCCCCUUGGUUCCUGUGGGAAUAUGUGAUUGGCCUGUUUGAAUGAUUCCACAUGCUGGCAGUGACUGAAGCUUGCUCCUUGGGAAUAAACAAGAACUGUACUUGACCCCCAUGAUCAGAAGGGUUAUUGGCUAGGGAACCUUUUCUACACUAGUAGAGUAGGGAGGGGAACUUAUGUUAGGCCAUCUGAGGCCUGUCUGGUUUUCUUCAGAUAUAAAAACAAGCAUGCUAUGGGACCUUAGUUUUAGUCCUUGUACCAUUGUAGUACAUGUCACUAAAGGACCAAACAAAAAUAGAAAAGAAACUUUACAAGAUUUUAUUUGCAUAUGCCCUGUUCCUCCUUCAAUGUACCUGCUCUAGAGGUAAAGACACAUGUUAGUCCCUCCCCUUUUAUGUCCCUUCAUAAAGCCUUGGAUAAUGCCAAGUUCUUUUUGAUGGAUACCACAAUAACCAGUGACUUAAUAAAUGUUAUUGUUUGAGGAAGCCAAUCUUUAUUUGAGUAGCUAUUGCCAGCCAACUUUUUUUUAAUGUUUUAUUUUUAUUUAUUUAUUUAUUUUAUUGCUUUUAAGG